UCAAAAUCAGGAGUCGGGGCUU
rnacentral:miRNA from 1 species